UGAUAUGAUGGCUUCCAAACAGAAGUAUGCACACUAAUAGUCCAAACGUGUGUUUGUGUUUGUGAGAGAGAGAAGAGAGAGAGAGAGAGAGAGACUACCAACUAAAAUGUGCUUGUGUACAUUUUGGCAAACGCCGUUUCGUCCUUCGUGUUUUCUGCGUUGUGUGAUAUGUCAAAGCAAAAAUCUUUGUGAUGCAGGGUGCCAGAUGGUGGUGAGGGGUAACAACCAUU